UCCCUGACAGUCCAGUGGUUAAGACUCUGCGCUUCUAAUACAGGGGACACAGGUUUGAUCCCUGGUCAGAGAA
rfam:Ovis aries breed Texel chromosome 17, whole genome shotgun sequence.